rnacentral:sRNA from 1 species
UGGAGCCUGGGGCGUGCUGGUACUAGAUGAGGCUCAGGAGCGGUCGGUGGCAUCGGAUUCACUCCAGGGGCUACUGCAAGAUGCCAGGCUGGAAAAACUUCCGGGGGACCUCAGAGUGGUUGUGGUUACUGACCCAGCCCUUGAACCUAAGCUUCGAGCUUUCUGGGGCAAUCCUCCUAUUGUGCAUAUACCCAGAGAGCCUGGUGAGAGACCUUCCCCCAUCUACUGGGACACCAUCCCACCUGAUCGGGUGGAAGCUGCCUGCCAAGCAGUGCUUGAGUUGUGUCAGAAGGAGGCUCCAGGAGAUGUGCUAGUGUUCCUGCCCAGUGAGGAGGUAAAAACAAAACAAAACAAAAAAACAGCCUGCAAAAGGAGGAAAUUUCUCUGUGCUGUGAAUCCUUGUCCAGGGAGGUAGAGUCCUUGCCUCUCCAAGGGCUUCCACCACGAGUACUGCCCCUUCACCCAGACUGUGGACAAGCCGUUCAGGCUGUGUAUGAGGACAUGGGUGCCCGAAAGGUUGUGGUCACUCACUGGCUGGCUGACUUCUCCUUCUCCCUCCCUUCCAUCCAACAUG